GCUGUGAUGCGAACCUUGUAAAUAGGGAAUUUACUGCUAGGAGUUUGAGUAUACUUGUAAUGAGAAAGAAAAAAAGGAAUUUUAAAUCACAGCUUUGCAUUUUGUGGCUAUUGCAUCUGGAUGUAUGGUAAAAAUUGAUGCAAAAUGUUAUAUUCUUUUAAUUUAAUAAAUGCUAGAGGGGUUAUCUCAACCAGGGAAAGCUACAAAGGGAAAAAAAACAUGUUAAUGGGACACAGCUCCCUUGCUUUUUGCAACAGAACUGCUCCUGGAAGCUUUCCCCUCUUUCUGAAGAAAAAUGCUUGUGCUGCCUUCACAAGCUGCUUGGAGCCACUUCAGAUUCAGACGAACUGCGGAGCCCACAUCACAUGUGACAGUGCAACUAUGAGACAGCAGGGGUGGACCAGCUCCCACACGGUGCCCACAGAACACCUCCACAUGCCAUUCACACUCAGCAGGCCGUGAACUCCUGCCGCUGAGAGAACUGUUUGGAACUGACCCCCUCAGGUGGUCCCUCUGAAAGCAAGGACUGAACUGAAUUGCUUGGACCAGACUGAGAACCCUGGAGCAGGAGGAACCAUGGUGGGAAGCCACGCUGGGGGCCCUGUUAGCCUGUACUGCCUGACCAAUGCACGUCCUGCUUGGGGUGCCUGAACAUUGUAAACAGUUUGUUUGCAGGGGACAUGUGUGCCCUUCUGUGCCCUCUGGGAUUGUACUUCUUGGGUGUGUGCCCUGACCGUCAUGACACUGCCUCAGCCCUGGAAGGCUUUGGGCCAGCUUCAUCCUGCUGGCCAGAGCUAUGCUGGGCCUGAAUUGAUGCCUCAGGCUGGGUUUUAAAAAAAGGUUCAUAGAGAAACUUAUGGAGGAAGCCACCUGGCUUUCUAAGACAGAUCUUUGUGGCUAAUGGGAUGUAUUUUAACUGGCUAAGUCCAGGACCCCUACAGAGCAUAAUUGAGAUCAAUACUGCAGGUUAGCCUCACCCUGCUGUGUGGGGUCCUACUGAUAAUAAUUCUGUAAAGACAGCUUGGCCAAGGGCUGAGGGAGUGGAUUAUGCAGACAAGUUAACAUAGCAAGAGUGAAACUGCUAUCCAUAGAAUGGCCUGCAUGCCAGGUUAACCCUUGACUGACAUCUGAGAACUUUGAUUUGGGGAGUGUUCCUGCCCUUCCCUAAUUCAUAAGAGUGACUCAUUGUAGCUAGACUGUUUGUGCAAACAACGGGGUUUAUUUGUUGAACACCUGCUUUCUGUGUGUUUGGAAUUUUGGUACCUGCCAGGUAAAGGGUCCUAUGUGACCAGCCUCCAAUAAAAACCCAGAACUCUGAGUCCCAAAGGGCUUGCCUGGGCAGAAAUAUGGCACACAUGUUGCUGAAUUUUCAUUGCAAGGGAAAAGUGUGCUCUGUGUGACACUUCAUGGGAGGGAGAAAGAAAAAGAAAGCCUGCACGUGGAUUCCUCCAGACUCCACCUGUGUCUCUUCUCCUUAUGAUCUGGUUAUAUAUCCUUACUACAUCUUGGUAAUAAGUCUUAGCCCUGAACACAACUAUAUGCUGAAUCCCAUGAGAUCUUCUAGCAAAUCUCUGAAUAGAGUGGUGAUCUUAGGGGUCCCUCAUCACAGUCACCAAUGGAAAUCUCAGAUAUUUUCUUAUCACAUUAUAGAUAUUUGGAAAUUUCAAUUAUAUUGAUCACUGCUUUGAUAUUAAGGUAGAUAUGAGACCUGCCACUAGUUUGUUAUUUAAAGUGUUGAUAAAGAAGCCCACAUACUAUACAUUUUAAAAUAUUUUUAAAAUUGAACAUCUUUAAUAUAUUUUCACAUAAUUGAUUUCCUUUUUAAUCCUAAGUAUUUUACUUGCUGCAUUAUUUUGAGAGCUUCCUUCUGAGAAGAUAUCCAUAGGAUUCACCAGACUGCUGAAGGGGUCUGCACAAAAGAGAGUUUGACUCCCUGCAAUGGGUUAUUACCCUGGACUAGAUGUAUAAUCACUAACAGGCAAUUUAUUACCUAUAAGUGAAUAAACACUUAGUACCCUAAAUUUUACCCAGAGACAAGGAAUAACUAGUUCUAUACAUUACAUUUAAAGGGGCAGCAGUAGCUAACAAUAAAGUCACUGUGAUUUCAUGCCAUGCUUGUUCAAUGUGACAGUUACAAUAUAUAAUUGAUCUAAAAGGUGAGAUAU
ensembl:lncRNA